rnacentral:tRNA from 1 species
GGAAGGAUGCCGGAGCGGCUAAACGGCCAGGUCUCGAAAACCUUGGGGGUCGCAAGGCCCACGCGAGUUCAAAUCUCGCUCCUUCCG